AGGUUAAUGAAAUUUGGCUUUAAAAUCCAAAUCCGAACUAAACCAGUUAUCGUAAUUGGGCUGAAUUUCUCUUCUACAGAAGGCAGAAGAGGAUGGGAUGCUUACAGAGGAUCGUGAAUAUGCUUGGAUGAAGGGUCAUGAAAAAGGCGAUGGGACUGUUCAUCCAUUAGUAGUUGAAAAAUAUGUAGCUAUAUCAAGAAUUAAAAGCAUGUCAAACUUUUACUCUAACUUUCCUAAUCGAUAUUGGUAACACAUAUUACACAGGAACAAGUCAAAGCUGCCUAUGAGAAGCGAAAACAGAAAGGAACUAAUUGCUCAUAUGAUUUUGGUUCUGAUGGUUUAGUUGAUGUCUUUGGACCAAACAAGGGUAAAAGGUGUUUACGUGGUUUUUCCUCCAGCGUUUCUGCGAAGCGUGCUAAGCAAGCAUUCCUCAAUGCUGCUCUUUGCGAUCCUACAGUUAACAAAUGUAACUGAUCUCCUGUCAUUGGUCUGAAAAAGGUUAUGGCACAAAAAAUAUCCAGUGAUCAUCCGACCAACGAAGAGACCAUCUUGAAUGAUUUUGUACCCCUAACUUUGAUUUCACUCCUGACUUAACUUCAGAAAAUCAUUCUUUUACCAAGAAUUUAAAUCCCAUGUCAGAGCCACAACCUUUUGAUAAUUCUGGUUAUGAAGAGUCUUCAGAUCAGAAUGUGAAUUUGUUGGACAGGAAUGGAAACAUAGUUGCAGCUGGAUAUGUGGUGACCGGUUUGGAAGGUGAAGUCUGUCACCAUAGAAUUGUCAAAAAGAAUGAGAGAAAAGUUCGCAUAGAAUGCGUCUACAAUGAUGCUGCACCAAUCUGGGACCCUCCUCAAGGUGAUGACUACUAUAAACUAUCUUCUUAUAUUGGUGGUGGUUGGGUAGUAUGG